rnacentral:rRNA from 1 species
CUUGGUCAUUUAGAGGAAGUAAAAGUCGUAACAAGGUCUCCGUAGGUGAACCUGCGGAGGGAUCAUUAAUGAAUGGCCUCUGUGCCUUCAACCUUACAAACCUGUGGAAGCUAUAUGUGCUUCGGCGCUCAGGCGUCGUUUUUAUGCUACAAGUCAGUCUUUGUGUCUGAAUCAAACAAAAGAAAUAAAACUUUCAACAAAGGAUCUCUUGGCUCUCGCAUCGAUGAAGAACGCAGCGAAGCGCGAAAUGUAGUGUGAAUCGCAGAACAUUGUGAAUCAUCGAAUCUUUGAACGCACAUUGCGCCUCUAGUAACUUGGAGGCAUGCCUGUCUGAGYGUCAUUUAAAACCAUAAACCUGAAUGGGUUUGUAUUGGGCAUCGCCGUACGGCGUAGCCUCAAAGACAUUGGUCUUGAACGCGGACGAGCUCCUUUAGGACAGACCGUGUGAGGACUUUAAACAUCUGACUUGACCUCAGAUCAGGUAGGACUACCGCCUGAACUUAAGCAUAUCAAUAAGCGGAGGA